CCUACGGGGUGCAGCAGUGGGGGAUAUUGCACAAUGGGGGAAACCCUGAUGCAGCGACGCCGCGUGUGGGAAGACGGUCUUCUGGAUUGUAAACCACUGUCCCCAGGGACGAAAAUGACGGUACCUGGGGAGGAAGCUCCGGCUAACUACGUGCCAGCAGCCGCGGUAAUACGUAGGGAGCAAGCGUUGUCCGGAAUUACUGGGUGUAAAGGGAGCGUAGGCGGGGAUGCAAGUUGGGUGUCAAAACUACCGGCUCAACCGAUAGUCGCACUCAAAACUGCAACUCUUGAGUGAAGUAGAGGCAGGCGGAAUGCCUAGUGUAGCGGUGAAAUGCGUAGAUAUUAGGAGGAACACCAGUGGCGAAGGCGGCCUGCUGGGCUUUUACUGACGCUGAGGCUCGAAAGUGUGGGGAGCAAACAGGAUUAGAUACCCGAGUAGUC
rnacentral:rRNA from 1 species